rnacentral:rRNA from 1 species
UACGUAGGGUGCGAGCGUUAAUCGGAUUUACUGGGCGUAAAGCGUGCGCAGGCGGCCCGUUAAGACAGGUGUGAAAUCCCUGGGCUCAACCUAGGAAUUGCGCUUGUGACUGGCGGGCUCGAGUACGGUAGAGGGGAGUGGAAUUCCCGGUGUAGCGGUGAAAUGCGUAGAGAUCAGGAGGAACACCGAUGGCGAAGGCAGCCCCCUGGGCCUGUACUGACGCUCAUGCACGAAAGCGUGGGGAGCAAACAGG